GACGAACGCUGGCGGCGUGCUUAACACAUGCAAGUCGAACGGAAAGGCCUGCUUUCCCUUGUGGAUUGCGGGUACUCGAGUGGCGAACGGGUGAGUAACACGUGAGUGAUCUGCCCCCAACUUGGGUAUAAGCCUGGGAAACUGGGUCUAAUUCCCGAUAGGACUGCAGGGUGGUGCCUGUGGUGGAAAACGAUUUUCUAGUGGUUGGGGAUGAGCUCGCGGCCUAUCAGCUUGUUGGUGGGGUAAUGGCCUACCAAGGCGGCGACGGGUAGCCGGCCUGAGGGGGUGGACGGCCACAUUGGGACUGAGAUACGGCCCAGACUCCGACGGGAGGCAGCAGUGGGGAAUAUUGCACAAUGGGCGGAAGCCUGAUGCAGCGACGCCGCGUGGGGGAUGACGGCCUUCGGGUUGUAAACUCCUUUCGACCGCGAGGAAGCCACAUGGUUGGAAGGGUGGUGACGGUAGUGGUAGAAGAAGCACCGGCUAACUACGUG
rnacentral:rRNA from 1 species